rnacentral:sRNA from 1 species
UGGGGGGAGGAACUGACAGAGACCCAGCACAUGAUCCAGCGACGCAUCAUGGAGUCUGUGAACGGGCUGAAGUCUCUCUCAGCAGGAAGGGUGGUGGUUGUGAAGAAUCAGGAGCAUCACAAUGCACUGGGAGUGAUCCUACAGGUCUCCUCGAACUCCACCAGCAGAGUAUUCACAACCCUGGUCUUGUGUGAUAAGCCCUUGUCCCAGGACCCACAGGACAGGGGGCCAGCCACUUCAGAAGUACCCUAUCCAGAUGACCUCGUGGGAUUCAAGCUGUUCCUGCCUGAAGGGCCUUGUGACCACACCGUGGUCAAGCUCCAGCCAGGAGAUAUGGCUGCCAUCACCACCAAGGUGCUCCGGGUGAAUGGGGAGAAGAUCUUGGAGGACUUCAGCAAGAGGCAGCAGCCAAAAUUCAAGAAGGAUCCUCCCCUUGCAGCCGUGACCACUGCUGUCCAGGAACUGCUGCGUCUGGCUCAGGCCCACCCAGCCGGACCCCCCACCCUCGACCCUGUCAAUGACCUGCAGCUCAAAGAUAUGUCAGUUGUAGAGGGUGGGCUCCGGGCCCGGAAGCUGGAGGAGCUGAUCCAGGGGGCUCAGUGUGUACACAGCCCCCGUUUUCCUGCCCAGUACCUGAAGCUGCGGGAGCGAAUGCAGAUACAGAAGGAGAUGGAGCGGCUGCGCUUCCUACUGUCGGAUCAGUCACUGCUGCUGCUUCCUGAGUACCAUCAGCGAGUAGAGGUGGGUGGGGCAGUGGUUGGGGCAGGAGGGCUGGGGGACAGCAGUGUGUCCAAUGCCCGCCCUUUUUCUUGCAGGUUCUCCGAACCCUGGGUUACGUGGACGAGGCGGGCACCGUGAAGCUGGCAGGGCGGGUGGCUUGUGCCAUGAGCAGCCAUGAGUUGCUCCUCACUGAGCUCAUGUUUGACAAUGC